GAAAAGUUGAGCCGAGCCAGAGCAGAGCCGUGCCGCCGUGGAGGGCUGGGAGAUCCCAGCUGCUGCUCAGCCCGCACUGACCGAGCCCGGCGAGUGGCCCUGCACUGCGAACAAGGAAGAAGGGCGGAUAUGUGAGGCAAACACAGCAAGUUUGCUUCAGAAGAAAUGACUGGUACUCCUGCUACAGGCAGCACAUUGGGGAGAGGAGCAAGGAACUCCUUCAUCCUGGCAUUCCUGCAAAACAGGUGGCGUAAGAGGUUCUGCCAUGCUUGGAAACACCAUGGGCAACAUUUGCUGGCUUCUUGCAUUUUGGCUAUGAAGGAUGGAGAAUGGAGCCUCUGCAGGGUGCUCAGAGGGAGCAACAAAAAGGAGAUGCAGAGCCAUGGCUAUGCUUUAUUCAAAAACCAGUUAGUUAAAAGUGCAUUGGAGGGCAUCUGAAAUUUUGUCUCUGGCAUUUGUGUCCGUGCAGUUAUCUCAUUUGGGUGUGUCUGCCUAGCUGCCAAAUCUGGGAAGGUAUGUUUGUCAUCGUGGUGGGAGAGCGAAGGGUGGAGGGAGCUGUGGGUUCCUGCAAGACAGAUUGCAAUUCUGUGCUUUGUUAAGACAUUUGUUGAUGGUUUUAGUACAGCUCACCUGUCAGUGCCAGUAUCUGAGGUCGUUCUGUCCACCUCUCUGCCUGGCCUUGGCUGCUGUUACCCACAUCCUUUCCUGGAAUUCACACCCCUAACCAGCAGCUGUUACUAUAUUGGGCUUUUGACCUCCUGAAAAUGGGGUCUCAACCCUUUCUGUUCCCUCUCAAGCAACUCAAUUCUCAACUGAAAAAGAAAAAAAAAGGGGGGAUAAGGUAACCACCGAUGAAACAACAUUUUUAUUUCAAAGAUCAAUCAGUUCUAAAAGCCAACAUCCUGUUUUGGGUUGGCUUUACACAUCAGGUCUGACACUUGGCAGCCCAACAGGAAGUGAACGUGAGCAGCGUUUUUCUAUGGGAAGCUCGCUUUUUGAACCCACGCUUUGCUGAGUGUGCCCCGAGCUGUCUGCCCGUGGCCCUCAGCACUAAACCAGCGCCAUGGACGCUGAGCCUCACCCUCUUCUUCAGGGACUUAUCAGCAGGAAAUGAACUCAGCUGGAACGCUUCGUACCAUUGACAUUUUUGUGCUCGGGUCUUGCAGCUGCAGCGAAGCACUUCUGAGAGCACAGACGCACAAACACACACGUGCCAACACCCACACAGACACACGGACCAGCGUGCCAGGCUCUCUGCACCCCUGGGAACUGAUGUCAGUGGGAAAGUCCUGUUACCAAAGGGAAUUAAAUGGAAGGAGUUUGCGAGUUUUUCAGAAUGUUGUACCCAGAGGAAGCUUGCCUUGCCACUGCCUGUGUGGAAGCUGUUAAAAAAGUAAAAGGACUUUGGCUGAACACCAGGCCAGCAUUGUAAUAACUUUACCUAUCUUCUAAAAAAUACACCAAGGAAAGAGCCACAAGCUAAACUCCCAACCAAGGUAAUUCAGGAAGUUUGAGAGCAAGAACAAAUAAUUGUCUUAUGCACAAGCAUGCAACACCUCUCUGCUCAGCAAAGGUUUGUGCUGUGUGCCACUUGUAGCAGCAGCAGGGCUGAUACCUCCUCAGGAGAGAAUCUAACCAACAUUUUUAGAAACAAUUUGCAUGGUGGGUCUCAUGUGGCACCAAGCGUUGGCACUUCAAAGCACUGAGCACGUCAGCUUUUGCCAGAGCUGACUCACAGGUCAGUCUCUUCUGUCACAGGCAGCGGCAAGUGACUUUAAUCACCCUGGCUGUCAUUUGGAUGCGGAGAGCAGGCCUGGCUCAGGAAUCAAGUGCUGCACACAGCGAGACUGCACAGCCCCCGAGUGCUAUCUGCACACAGAAAGGUUUCUGUUCACAGACAGACUGCAUGAGCUAGACAGGAAGCCUGGAGCAGAGCACAGCUAGGCUGUGUCUCGGGAGAAACCGUGCCCAGCCCAUGCAGCAACCAGGCUGGCUGCAGAGAGAGCUGGCUCAGGGAAAACCAGCUCUGAAGAGGGCAGACGAAACAUGACACAAGCCAGGAUGGAAACCUUGCCCACUUUCUGACUAAAAUACAUCUUCUCCAGGGACACAGCCUGAAGCUCAUCACAUGUAAAACACACUGAAAUUAACAUUGUUCCAUGAACUCGACCUUGGAGGAAGUAAACUUGGCUCCAUUUAUGGUGAGAUAUUACUGUCUAUUUACUGGCUUUAAAAUGCAGCAAAGCACAUGAUUUGGAAAGGAGAACUAGUAGUGCCUACCAAUACUUUCUUGACCCUGUUAUGCAAGGAUGCUGAGAGCCCCUAGACAAUAUUGCAGCACAUCAGAGAGAAUCCUUCUCCUUUCUCUGAGAUCUAACUGAGGAAGUGAGAGAGCCUAGUGCCUGCACAUCAGGGCUUUAGAGCAUCCUUUUUUCUUUUUUUUUUCCCCAUGAAAAUUUCAGUUUUUCCUGAGCAUCUCCAGGAGAAGGCAGCAGCAGAAGGCUCUGUCUGUCCUGGAGAGGAGACAGGUUCUAACCAUGCUCUGCAUGCAAGGAAAAUAGUGGAGGAAAAAUUAUUUUGUUCUGCUUGUACAGGACAGCAGAUAAAUAGCAGGGAAUGGAUGGGUGGUGUAUUUUCCUUGCUGAGUUCAUCCCAACAGGAUGAUCCACCUGGCCUGCUAUAAGCUGUGGGUGCUGUGGAGCACCUGGGGCAGAUGGUGGUCACAGGGCAAGUUAAUUUGGCUUCCUCAGUGCUACAGUGCUAUUUACAUAGUGUGGACAUACUUGGACCCAGGUGGAAAUAUGAAAACCCACCCUCUUUUAGGACAGGUUGAAUCAAGUCUCAGUAUUACCCCAGUUUAAAGCAUCUCCUUAUACAAACCUUUAUAAGGUUACUGAGCACAAAGUGACAGAUAAAAUAAGCUAAGUGUUUGUUUGGAAAAGCCUUCAGUGGAAGGUGGAAUGGUGUUCAACUGACAAAACCAAGCCUUGCAGAGGCAAGGGCUUUGACAUACACCCAGCAGUGUGUAAGAGGUAACACCUGAGCUCUGCCUAGUGGCAAAUCAUUCUGUGGGCUUUGUAGCCCAAAAGAGGUAGUCCCUGCUGCUGUGAUGAAAGGAUAAGGUUUUCCCAAGGGAAGGCUGGGCCUCAAAUACCGGUGGUGGCACAGAACCAGCCUUUGAGGCUGAUUUAGCAGCGGGCGGGGAUAGUGGGGCCGAUGGUGCCACCCCUUGGAUAGCAGAAUAACAUAAUCAUUAUGGCUGGGAAAGAACUUCAGGAUCGCCGAGCCCACCUGUUAACCCAGCGCCCCGUGCUCACCAUU